CCCUCUUUGGUUCAUUUGUGCUACCUGAAGUCAUUGGUUGGAGGUAGAAUUGGUGGUUUAAGUAUUCUUUUAGCUAGACCGGAUGGAAGGGUGUUGUUCGCUACUGCGGCCCUGUUUUCUGGUUGCAGCAUCACCCGUACAGGUCAUAGUUGGAAGCUUUUUGCCCGAUGGUCAUAGGCUAUGACAAGUUAUAUGCAAACCAUCGUCACCUCCAUCAAAACUGAAGCAGGUAGUGCUAGCGAUAACCAACUGCACACUGCAUAGAGUGACUCUUGUAGAACAAGUUAUCUAACAUGGUCCUUCAAAUUGGAGCACAUCCUCCCCCAAAUGGAAGCCAAGUUAGUGCUGGUGGUACUAGUUGCCCAUAGUAUAGAGUUACUCUUGUAGAACGAGUCAUCCCGGUUGGCAUGCAAGUGCGCUGCAUUUGAGCUCUAGUCCUUGCGAUGAAAUCCCAUAAUGCACGUCAGGCACGCCGUCUAAACAAUUGACUCCAAAACUUUCCUACCAAUUGAUGAUCCACAUAUAACAUUAAGUACUUAUGCUUCUAUUAUGAUCAGAGAAAAGCACCACAUACAUUCCGUUGAUUUGAACAUCGACCCAGUAUAGUUAUGUAUAUCUGGCCAUCACAUGUUCCACCAAUAUUUAAACGCUGCAUAAUGUUUGUACA